rnacentral:rRNA from 1 species
GUGGGGAAUAUUGCACAAUGGGCGAAAGCCUGAUGCAGCAACGCCGCGUGAGGGACGACGGCCUUCGGGUUGUAAACCUCUUUUAGCAGGGAAGAAGCGAGAGUGACGGUACCUGCAGAAAAAGCACCGGCUAACUACGUGCCAGCAGCCGCGGUAAUACGUAGGGUGCAAGCGUUAUCCGGAAUUAUUGGGCGUAAAGAGCUCGUAGGCGGUUGGUCGCGUCUGCUGUGAAAUCCCGAGGCUCAACCUCGGGUCUGCAGUGGGUACGGGCCAGCUAGAGUGCGGUAGGGGAGAAUGGAAUUCCUGGUGUAGCGGUGGAAUGCGCAGAUAUCAGGAGGAACACCGAUGGCGAAGGCAGUUCUCUGGGCCGUUACUGACGCUGAGGAGCGAAAGCGUGGGGAGCGAACAGGA